CACGUAGGGUGCGAGCGUUGUCCGGAAUUAUUGGGCGUAAAGAGCUCGUAGGCGGUGUGUCGCGUCGGCCGUGAAAACCUGCAGCUUAACUGUGGGCUUGCGGUCGAUACGGGCAGGCUAGAGUUCGGUAGGGGAGACUGGAAUUCCUGGUGUAGCGGUGAAAUGCGCAGAUAUCAGGAGGAACACCGAUGGCGAAGGCAG
rnacentral:rRNA from 1 species